UACAGAGGGUGCGAGCGUUGUCCGGAAUCACUGGGCGUAAAGGGCGCGUAGGCGGCGCGGUAAGCGUGCGGUGAAAGCCCGGGGCUCAACCCCGGGUCGGCCGUGCGGACUGCCGGGCUGGAGCACUGUAGAGGCAGGUGGAAUUCCGGGUGUAGCGGUGGAAUGCGUAGAGAUCCGGAAGAACACCGGUGGCGAAGGCGGCCUGCUGGGCCAGUAGCUGGACGCUGAAGCGCGACAGCGUGGG
rnacentral:rRNA from 1 species